rnacentral:lncRNA from 1 species
CUUUCUCCAAGAAGCGGCCAGCUGGCCAGGCCUUCCCGGGCAGAAUGUGGCCCCGUCCCAGAGCACCACCCGAGACAUCAGGAGCCCAUCGUGGGCUAGGGAAGAUCCUCCGGGACCUAACGGCCCAGGUCUUCCACCCUUGGCCACCUCCCCAGGUGAUGCCUGAAGCUCAAGGGACUGUGUCCACCCUCAGGCCCUGCCCGUGGCUCUGGAUCGGCGGUCCCCAUCAGAGGCCUGGGCUGAGUCCUCAGGGGUCGACGCAGGUCCUCUGGGCAGCAUGGGGUGGUGCCGGGUGGACCCCACGGUGGCCUGUGUUCGCCACGUGGCCGUGGGUCAGUUCCUCGCUGGAGGAGACCCUUCCCCAGACACCUGCCGGGCACCCAGCCAAACCCUUGAGGCCUGGGAAGGUCUCUGGAUGCCACCCUACACCCCGCCCAGACUCCUCUCCCUGUGGUUCCUGGACAGAACAUUCCGUCACCACGAAACGAAGUUUGCCCAGGCCCUGCCUUCACCCUGGGAAAACCCAGCCGGGCAUGGGAAGGAGGAAUGCUGCCCGCCUGCCCGCCCAGACCAGAGUCGCCCCACAUGCCAGGCCAGGCCCGCAUCCUCCUGGGGCACACGGGAGCCCCAGGCUUCCCGGCAGGAAAAGCCCCCCACCGCAGAAGGGCUGGUCUCUGGUGGGGAGUUGCUGCUGGGUGGGGUGACCACAGGGCGGGGUUCAGGCUGGGGUAUUUUUAAUGAUGUAGUUGCAUCUGGUCACCGCCCCCUGCCACCCCCGAUUCUUUCCUGCCCUCCCCACCUUGUGACCCAGACUGUGGCUUGAAUUAAGAAUGUUUUCAGAUAAGUACA